rnacentral:lncRNA from 10 species
CACCUGAGGUCAGGAGUUCAACACCAGCUUGGCCAAGAUGAUGAAACCCCAUCUCUACUAAAAAUACCAAAAUUAGCCGGGCGUGAUAGCGGGCACCUGUAGUCCCAGCUACUUGGGAGGCUGAGGCAGAGAAUCGCUUGAAUCCGGGAGGCAGAGGUUGCAGUGAGCCAAGAUUGCGCCACUGCACUCCAGCCUGGGCGACAGAGCGAGACUCCGUAUCAAAAACAAACAAAAAACAGGGGAAACAGGUGAGAGGCCUGUCUUGGGGAUUCAUUGUGAUUCCUGCGGCAGUUGCCUCCCCAGACACCCAGAGCUUGCUGGUCAUCCCAGACCCUUGGGCAAGGGCAAGACAGCAGCGUCCAGCAGUCGGCUUGUGCAGGGCAGCCUUCCAAUUGCCCAAAAUAUGCGCCCUCCCGGACACCAUCCUUGGAAGAGAACCUAGUUCCUUACCGAUCCUUUCGUGCCUCAGUCCACCCAGACCAAUUCCAGCCUUGGUGAGGCGUUUCCCUCUGACCAAGCACCCACCCAUGGGAGGCCCGUGUCACCCGGCUGCGUUUCGCAUCUCUGCUCCCAUGAAUAAAUGUAUUUACUCUAAAAA